UGCAAUUUUUUUUUUUUUAGGUAAUUCCCCAUGGAAAUUCCAAAAUAUCUUUGUCUUACAAAUAUAUGAUACAUGAAGAUUCUCUAAAUGUGGGUAAUAACUAUGUUCCUGAAGAAGACAUGGUUGCAUAUGAGUGGGCACUGAAGAAAUGGUCUCCUUGUUCCAAGGCUUGUGGUGGAGGCUAUCAGUUCACAAAAUAUGGCUGUCGCAGAAAAUCGGACCACAAAAUGGUGAAUAAGAAGAUGUGUGAAUUCAUCAUGA